CGCCGAUCGCGCGAUCUGUUCGCGAGUCGGAGCGGUCGGAAGCACAUCGUCAUUGGAAGAUCGUCGCAGGAGCGUCUCACGGCAUUCAAAGUUCUAAAUUACACGCACGUCAAGUUUCGGUGACACACGAUCUUCCGACGGGAGCCGCGCUUGAACAGGUUAGAAACAUCUCGACCGACCGACUCGCAAGUUAUCGCGGCGCGUUUACAAAAACUGCCCGUGGUAAGUGAUAAUUAUUGUUUUCUCGUUCGGUAAAGUUUGUAGAAAAUAAAUAACGUACGUAGACGAAUCUCAGGAAAUUUCUCUAUUCGAUCAAUUAACCUUUCGCGAGUGAUGUAAAUACGGUAAAAGACUCUCGAUCGCUCGUAACCUGUAACGCGCGUGCGCGGCGCCGCUUCUGGCGGGACGGCUCACCAAUGUCUUGUUAAAUAAUUGUUGCGACGAUUUUAAGUGUAGCGUUCGAUUUUGAAGAAACGGGUUAGAUUCACGCGACGAGCGUCUCGGGUUUUCGCGUGUUUAGUGAUCGGUUGAAGCAAGAGGAACUGGAAGAGUGAGGUUAAGUGACAAUAUGCUAACUAAACACCGAAUGCGAUGUCACACGGAAUUACAGAAGUCGAUUGAGAAUAUUUACCGAGGAUAAAUUGAUUUUUUAAGGCUCGCUGUAGGCGAUAGGAAUCUUGGCCGUCGCUAGGUAGCUUAUGAUCGAUGUGGCAGGAAUCAUUGUACAGAAUUGGCUGUCCAUACUCGUUCAAGGUGUUUUAAUUGAGAGUGGUUAGUGAGGCUGUGAGCUUGAUUCAAUGUUACACGAUGUUAACAAUCGAACAGGAAUUCGAUUGUUACAAUAAUCGAUGUCUCACAAUUUUGACAAGGAGGAUCUGGAACAUCGCAAUGAACAAUAGUACAAAGUUUUAUAUUAUACAGGAUAACUAUAAAUAGAAUGAAAUAUGUAAGUUCGACUGAAAAUAACUAAGCAAUAAAAUGUUGAAGUUGUAGGAUGAAA